AACUGACUGGUUUCUCUACGCUCCUGUAGUGCAACCAGUGCACUGGAUUGUUUGUUUGUUUUUAUUGUUGUUUUUCAUGGCUGUGACCAAAUUCCAGACAAGAACCAACUCUAAAGAAGAAGGAUUUAUCCCUGCUCAGGCUUUUCAAGAGACAGUGAAGCCAUGAUGGUCAUAUUCAGACAGAGGGAUGCAUUUUUGUAUAAUGAAUAAUACUGGUCACAUGCUAUCUGCACAGAAGUGAAUUAGAGCAGAAGAAAAUGACCAAAGUGCAGUACCAGCAGGUAUGAGAAGUUGUGAUCAAACCCUCAUCGGAUACAUCCAUACCACCAAAGUUUCAAAUAAACAGGAACAAAUCCA